UGGGGAAUAUUGGACAAUGGGCGCAAGCCUGAUCCAGCCAUGCCGCGUGAACGAUGAAGGCCUUAGGGUUGUAAAGUCUUUUGUCAGGGAAGAUAAUGACGGUACCUGAAGAAUAAGCACCGGCUAACUUCGUGCCAGCAGCCGCGGUAAUACGAAGGGUGCUAGCGUUGUUCGGAAUCACUGGGCGUAAAACGCGCGUAGGCGGCUUAACAAGUCAGAGGUGAAAGCCUGGAGCUCAACUCCAGAACUGCCUUUGAAACUGUUAAGCUUGAGUGUCGGAGGGGAUAGCGGAAUUUCUAAUGUAGAGGUGAAAUUCGUAGAUAUUAGGAAGAACACCGGUGGCGAAGGCGGCUCACUGGUCCGGUACUGACACUGAGGUGCGAAAGCGUGGGGAGCAAACAGGAUUAGAUACCCUUGUAGUCCCUGAGCGGGCUGGCAAGGCG
rnacentral:rRNA from 1 species